AUCCUGGCUCAGGAUGAACGCUAGCUACAGGCUUAACACAUGCAAGUCGAGGGGCAGCAGGAUCUUAGCUUGCUAAGAUUGCUGGCGACCGGCGCACGGGUGAGUAACGCGUAUCCAACCUUCCCCUUAGUAGGGCAUAGCCCGAUGAAAAUCGGAUUAAUACCCUAUGCUUUCCAAUGAGGACAUCUGAGCUGGAACAAAGAUUCAUCGCUAAGGGAUGGGGAUGCGUCCGAUUAGGUAGUCGGCGGGGUAACGGCCCACCGAGCCAUCGAUCGGUAGGGGUUCUGAGAGGAAGGUCCCCCACAUUGGAACUGAGACACGGUCCAAACUCCUACGGGAGGCAGCAGUGAGGAAUAUUGGUCAAUGGGCGAGAGCCUGAACCAGCCAAGUAGCGUGCAGGAAUGACGGCCCUAUGGGUUGUAAACUGCUUUUAUGCGGGGAUAAAGUGUGCCACGUGUGGCGUUUUGUAGGUACCGCAUGAAUAAGGACCGGCUAAUUCCGUGCCAGCAGCAGC
rnacentral:rRNA from 1 species